rnacentral:lncRNA from 1 species
CAGCAGGUUCCAUCUGUGGUCGUGGUGGUAGGACUGGGAGCGAAACACAGACGUGAAGUCUCUUCCUGUUCGUCCAAGAGGAUCCCACGAGCAAGGAGCACCAUCCAACCUUUCAUCAUUCUGUUUCCCAUCCCUGCAUAACAGUCCACUUUCCAAGUGUGAAAGUGAGACGAGUGGUGCUGGGGAGGGUCUUUCCUGUGUGAGAGCCAGGAGCAACACGUGACACGCCCCCACAUACUCCACCCACCACCAAUACAGCACGCAACAACUCCCUUACCCACUGGUCUGCAAAAACUGUACACGGUUUGAUAGAGGUCUGUGGCCCACAAAAGGUUGGGGCCACUGUAUUAACCAACAACACAGAGGAUGAAAAAUGAGUUAAAUUCCACGCUUUUCAGGUGAUAUAGUUUUCCCCAUAGUAAAAGCAUACAUUUUUGCAAGUCAGCAUGGCUCCUUGUUUGUACGCUGCCACAGUUGUCCCCAACCACAUGUACCAGUCC